UCCCCUCCAAUUGGGCCAGCCAAUGGGCAACAGAGGGCUAGCAGUGUGUGGCCAGCAUCGACACAUAUUAUUGGUCUAUGUUUGUCAUUGUCAAUCAAUCAUGGGCUGACAGGCUCAGAGAGCCCUGACAGUGCUGUCAAUCACAACACAAAUCAGGGUGGGCUGGACCGCAUGGCAUGGGCCGGAGUCGUGGGAGUCGGGACGGAGCUGAAAAUGGAUAAGCGUAAGAAACGCCCGGAUGGCGCUGAAAAACUGCGACUCUCUGGAGGUGGAAGCUGCUAAAUGUUCAAAAUGUACACACCUAUUUGGAGCCGGGGUCAACACCCCAGCUGGUGCUGCUGCGCCGGGAGACGAGCGAGUGGAGUUCUCGGGAGGGGAAGUCUGUCCAGCGUGCCAUCGGUCUGUCCAGUGAUCUUCUCAGGUCGUGGCUGGAUGUCCUGCCCCAGCUGGCUCUCUGAGCACCAACGUGCGCGGCUGAGCGUGCCCCUGUCACACGCCCUCCACUCUCUGCGGAGCUGGGAGCCACGGCGACACACGGCUUCCCACACUUGUGUAUGCAGCCUGCUCAGCUGCCAGACAAUAGAAGUGUGUCUACUCUCUGAGCCCCAGGCCCGUUCCCAGGGUCGGACCCAUCAGGCCAGAGAGCGCUCUACACAUCCACCAUCUGCUGCGGGCGAAGUGAGAACCUUGUCCAGGCAGGAGGGCUGCAGCUGACCUUUGAUAUACUGAAGAAACGAUCCCACCUGGUAGUGUGACAGCUAUGCAAUUCAGCCUAUUGUCCCGGGGUCGGAGCCCUGUGAUUGGCUGAACAGCAAGUGGACUGACGGGAUGAAGAGCAUAAAGGAGCGGUGAAGAGACAGCAGAGACAACACAUCACCGGCGCUAGAACAGAAGCAAGGCAACCCUCCAGACGUGGGAUCAACUGCAGAGUCAGGAGCUUGUUUGUGAAAUGGCCCCGUAUUCAGAGCUCGUUCUACAGCACACCAUCAAGGAGCAGCAGAUUCGGUGUAAACUCCACAUGCUAGAGAGAAAGUGCUCCACUGGAGUGGAGAAGCUGAGGGUUCUGAUCGGAGAACACCUGCAGAAUGGAAUCCCAGCGUCGGACAUCUUGGAGAAGACGGUGUCCUUCUUCACCGUGAGGAAGGCCCUGCUGACCCACAACGGCUACUCCAGAUGUACCAGAGAGUUCCUCCGUCUGUCCUCCACGUCGGAUGAAGAUGUGGCGCCGCUGUGCCUUUAGAAUACGACAUGGAGAAAAACAUGAACGAUGUCCAAGGACCUGGAUAAGAACACUGUCAGCAUGUGACCAGCAGCUCCAAGGUUUUGUGGAGUCCUGUUAUGCAUGGGCUUUACAGAAGGAAAUGUAUUUUCUCCCAGUGCCUUAUCGUCCCAGUGCCUCAUGACACGCAGUGAUACUGCUAUUGACCUUCUCUAAGAGAAAAAGAAUGUUUAUUUUCUUUGUGAGAACACACAUUUUUAUGUUUUAAGUUAGGCCUAAGUGUCCUUUCCAGAAUGCCUUGCCCUGUAAGGGCCAUCUUAAUGAAGCCAUGCCAGAGAAAUGCCUUUAACAUGUAAAUGUCUGGAACAUUUGCAUACUCUUUUGCCUGUUUAGCUAAUUGGACUUCCACAUUGUUGUUCGCAACCUACUUUACAUAUAAUCUGAUAUAAUUUGUGUGGGAAUACCAAGAUAGUGCAAAUAAUGAUUCUCUGCUGAUUUUGGGAUCAUCUUGUCACUGAUUUGCAUGUCUUAGUCCUCAAAUGUGCAUGUCAUUUCUAAAUAGUGCCUUAUUUAGAUGCCUUAAGGAAAAAAUACAAACCUUGCUCAGCAAAUAGGUUUGAUUUUGUUUUGUGCCUUCUAUAUGUCACUGGAAUAUAUGUGGUUUCUUUGCCACCAAAAAUACUUAAUUUUGUUUCAUUGUUGUUACAAUUUCUGAGAAAAUAAAAAUGCAAGACAUUCAAA
ensembl:lncRNA